AAAACAUUUAAUUGGGACCUUGCUUACAGCUUCAGAAGGUGAAGAGGCGUCCUUGAGCCAUGAGCAAAUUCAGUCUGGUGCUGAUGUGAUGGAUGAACUUGAUGCCGGAAAUGCAGAAGUAGGGAAAUCAAGUUGAACCAUUACUCAAUGGAGGGUAUUUUUUCUCCUUUUCUGGCAAUAAAUAUGGUUGGUAACAAGCCAUACCCAUUCUGUGAUUUAGUUCAAGGAGACACAAUCCACCUCCCAUACUACAAUCAAAAUUCCUUGGGGGUAGGAAGGGUUAGUGGUGCCUUUUAGAUAAUUGAUGCUGUCUGUAGGCUUCCUGCUUUCUGAAGUUCUCACCGUUGCUGUAGUGCUCAUAUUCAAGUAUUAACUACUCUUAAUUAAACCAAAUUGUUUCUUUUCAAAAA